rnacentral:rRNA from 1 species
GUCGNACGGUAACAGGUCUUCGGAUGCUGACGAGUGGCGAACGGGUGAGUAAUACAUCGGAACGUGCCUAGUAGUGGGGGAUAACUACUCGAAAGAGUAGCUAAUACCGCAUGAGAUCUACGGAUGAAAGCAGGGGACCUUCGGGCCUUGUGCUACUAGAGCGGCUGAUGGCAGAUUAGGUAGUUGGUGGGGUAAAGGCUUACCAAGCCUGCGAUCUGUAGCUGGUCUGAGAGGACGACCAGCCACACUGGGACUGAGACACGGCCCAGACUCCUACGGGAGGCAGCAGUGGGGAAUUUUGGACAAUGGGCGAAAGCCUGAUCCAGCAAUGCCGCGUGCAGGAUGAAGGCCCUCGGGUUGUAAACUGCUUUUGUACGGAACGAAAAGCCUGGGGCUAAUAUCCCCGGGUCAUGACGGUACCGUAAGAAUAAGCACCGGCUAACUACGUGCCAGCAGCCGCGGUAAUACGUAGGGUGCAAGCGUUAAUCGGAAUUACUGGGCGUAAAGCGUGCGCAGGCGGUUUUGUAAGACAGUGGUGAAAUCCCCGGGCUCAACCUGGGAACUGCCAUUGUGACUGCAAGGCUAGAGUGCGGCAGAGGGGGAUGGAAUUCCGCGUGUAGCAGUGAAAUGCGUAGAUAUGCGGAGGAACACCGAUGGCGAAGGCAAUCCCCUGGGCCUGCACUGACGCUCAUGCACGAAAGCGUGNGGAGCAAACAGGAUUAGAUACCCUGGUAGUCCACGCCCUAAACGAUGUCAACUGGUUGUUGGGUCUUAACUGACUCAGUAACGAAGCUAACGCGUGAAGUUGACCGCCUGGGGAGUACGGCCGCAAGGGUUGAAACUCAAAGGAAUUGACGGGGACCCGCACAAGCGGUGGNAUGAUGUGNUUNNNUUCGAUGCNACGCGAAAAA